CAGCCCACCAGCUAGCUCACACCAUAAAAUGCAACAACUCACUAUUAAUAACCCCUAAACACCUGAAAUACCCAAAACAAACCAUUUUUCCCCCCAAGUAUGGGCGACAGAAAAGGGCACAAUGAAGCAACAGCGACAGUACCGCAAGGGAACGCUGAAAGAGAAGUGAAACAAAUCAGUAAAGCACAGAAAAGCAGAGGUUAGCCCUCGUACCUUUUGCAUCAUGAUUUAGCAAGAAAAAGUCAAGCAAAAAG
rnacentral:rRNA from 1 species